GUUCAUGGUUCAGGAUGAACGCUAGCGACAGGCUUAACACAUGCAAGUCGAGGGGCAGCACAGGUAGCAAUACCGGGUGGCGACCGGCGCACGGGUGAGUAACGCGUAUGCAACUUACCUAUCAGAGGGGGAUAACCCGGCGAAAGUCGGACUAAUACCGCAUGAAGCAGGGGUCCCGCAUGGGGAUAUUUGCUAAAGAUUCAUCGCUGAUAGAUAGGCAUGCGUUCCAUUAGGCAG
rnacentral:rRNA from 1 species